rnacentral:rRNA from 1 species
UUUGAAAACACAUAGCCGGAGGAAAAGAAACUAACCAGGAUUCCCCUAGUAACGGCGAGUGAACCGGGAAGAGCUCAAAUUUGAAAUCUGGCGUGCUCAGUGCGUCCGAGUUGUAAUCUAUAGAGGCGUUUUCCGUGCCGGACUGUGUCUAAGUCCCUUGGAACAGGGUAUCAAAGAGGGUGAUAAUCCCGUACUUGACACAAUGACCGGUGCUCUGUGAUACGUCUUCUACGAGUCGAGUUGUUUGGGAAUGCAGCUCAAAAUGGGUGGUGAGUUCCAUCUAAAGCUAAAUAUUGGCGAGAGACCGAUAGCGAACAAGUACCGUGAGGGAAAGAUGAAAAGCACUUUGGAAAGAGAGUUAAACAGUACGUGAAAUUGUUGAAAGGGAAACGAUUGAAGUCAGUCGUGACUGAGAGGCUCAGCCGGUUCUGCCGGUGUAUUCCCCUCAGUCGGGUCAACAUCAGUUUUGUUCGGUGGAUAAGGGCAGCUGGAAGGUGGCACCUCCGGGUGUGUUAUAGCCAGCUGUCGCAUACAUCGAAUGAGACUGAGGAAUGCAGCUCGCCUUUAUGGCCGGGGUUCGCCCACGUCCGAGCUUAGGAUGUUGACAUAAUGGCUUUAAACGACCCGUCUGAAACAGGUUACGUUCUUGCG